rnacentral:rRNA from 2 species
CCUGAGAAACCCAAAAGAUCGAAUGGGGAGAUUCAUCGUCAGCGAUUUUGGUACGUGUGCGGUCUCGCGAUGCCGGUGACUUCGGUCUCCAGGCACGCGUCCGCAUGUUUUUUAUUGCCUCAAUCGUCGGCGUGCACUUCUUCCCUAGUAGGACGUCGCGACCCGUUGGGUGUCGGUCUACGGCCCGGGUGGUAGCCUGUCUCGUGUGCGCUUCGCGGCGUUACGCGGUUCAGACCCCCGGUUGCCCGACCGGCUGCCCGGCGGUACUCGCACGGUAUCUGGCCGCAAAUAUUCGAACUGCGUCCGGCCCGUCGCAAGCGAGACAAGUGUUUCCCGGUUGUACGGAUCCAAUGCCGUCACCGGGCCUUGUCGGCUGUUGGUUGACGGUGUCCUAGGACUGGCUAAUAUAAUUAUGAUACCGGUCGGCGACGU